CAAGAAUUUCCGACGUGACCACUGAUCCUCCCGUUCAAAUAAAAGCCAAAUAGUUUGUCAACGUCCUACUAACAUUUUUGAUAAAGUGGAUCUGAAAUGGACAUCAAUGAUGUAGCAGUGCAGAAUCUUCACAUAGCAUAGAAUAACUGUGUUCUUCUCUAUCAGACUAAUAGCUGCUGAUCAAGAGGUUAAUGAAGACACUGGAGCCAGAGCCAAGAUGGCAGCCAUGGCAAGAAACAUCUCCAAGGACUGGUCCUACCUCUAUGAGAGGCUCUUUUCCAAGCUGUCCGAUGAGGGCUUCCACGACAUGUGGAGCAUUGGUGGCUUUCUCGUAGUCUUCAUCUUCUGCACCAUCGUCAUCACCCUGACUCUGGCUGUCAUAUUCAGCUGGUGCUGUGGAUGGUGCUUCGACCUGCCGACCCUGGGGUCCAACAAGAUCAGCGUGCUGCUCUCACCACCAGAACUGUCCAGACAGAAGUCUAUGCAGACACAGACACACAUUCUAUCGAAACAGAGCCUGUCCAGACAGAUAUAUCCCUCGAGGUCUGUGAUGGAUCCAAAGCAUCCCAUAGAGUCAGUUUGGAAUCCUGAGUCUGUGCCCAAUGUGCAAAAUACUGAGAAAAGCAGCAAGAACAAGAAGCUUAAAGCUGGAUCUGUGAAAGUAAAGCACAAAAGCCGGCCUGCAUCCAGGAUUGUGAGGAACAGAGAUGUACC